GACGAACCGUGCGAACGUUAUUCGGAAUCACUGGGCUUAAAGCGCGUGUAGGCGGCUCUUCAAGUCGAACGUGAAAUCCCCGGGCUCAACCCGGGAACUGCGUCCGAUACUGGAAGGCUUGAAUCCGGGAGAGGGAUGUGGAAUUCCAGGUGUAGCGGUGAAAUGCGUAGAUAUCUGGAGGAACACCGGUGGCGAAGGCGACAUCCUGGACCGGUAUUGACGCUGAGGCGCGAAAGCCAGGGGAGCAAACGGG
rnacentral:rRNA from 1 species